UACGUAGGGGGCGAGCGUUGUCCGGAAUUAUUGGGCGUAAAGGGCUCGUAGGCGGUUUGUCGCGUCGGGAGUGAAAUCCACUGGCUUAACUGGUGGCUUGCUUUCGAUACGGGCAGACUGGAGGUAUGCAGGGGAGAACGGAAUUCCUGGUGUAGCGGUGAAAUGCGCAGAUAUCAGGAGGAACACCGGUGGCGAAGGCGGGUCUCUGGGCCGAUACUGACGCUGAGGAGCGAAAGCGUGGGGAGCAAACGGG
rnacentral:rRNA from 1 species